CCUACGGGUGGCUGCAGUGAGGAAUAUUGGUCAAUGGGCGCGAGCCUGAACCAGCCAAGUAGCGUGAAGGAUGACUGCCCUACGGGUUGUAAACUUCUUUUAUAAAGGAAUAAAGUGAGGCACGUGUGCCUUUUUGUAUGUACUUUAUGAAUAAGGAUCGGCUAACUCCGUGCCAGCAGCCGCGGUAAUACGGAGGAUCCGAGCGUUAUCCGGAUUUAUUGGGUUUAAAGGGAGCGUAGAUGGGUUGUUAAGUCAGUUGUGAAAGUUUGCGGCUCAACCGGAAAAUUGCAAUUGAUACUGGCAGGCUGGAGUAGAGUUGAGGUAGGCGGAAUGCGUGGUGUAGCGGUGAAAUGCUUAGAUAUCACGAAGAACUCCGAUUGCGAAGGCAGCGUACUAAACCGCCACUGACAUUGAUGCUCGAAAGUGUGGGUAUCAAACAGGAUUAGAUACCCUUGUAGUC
rnacentral:rRNA from 1 species